rnacentral:rRNA from 1 species
CCUACGGGGGGCAGCAGUAGGGAAUAUUGCUCAAUGGGGGAAACCCUGAAGCAGCAACGCCGCGUGGAGGAUGAAGGUUUUCGGAUUGUAAACUCCUUUUGUUAGAGAAGAUAAUGACGGUAUCUAACGAAUAAGCACCGGCUAACUCCGGGCCAGCAGCCGCGGUAAUACGGAGGGUGCAAGCGUUACUCGGAAUCACUGGGCGUAAAGAGCGCGUAGGCGGGUUAGGAAGUCAGAUGUGAAAUCCUAUGGAUGAACCAUAAUACUGCAGUUGAAACUGUUAGGCUAGAGUACGGUAGAGGUGGGGAGAAUGAGUGGUGUAGUGGUGAAAUGCUUAGAGAUUACGAGGAA